rnacentral:rRNA from 1 species
GAUGAACGCUGGCGGCGUGCCUAAUACAUGCAAGUCGAGCGAACAGACGAGGAGCUUGCUCCUCUGACGUUAGCGGCGGACGGGUGAGUAACACGUGGAUAACCUACCUAUAAGACUGGGAUAACUUCGGGAAACCGGAGCUAAUACCGGAUAACAUGUUGAACCGCAUGGUUCAACAGUGAAAGACGGUCUUGCUGUCACUUAUAGAUGGAUCCGCGCCGCAUUAGCUAGUUGGUAAGGUAACGGCUUACCAAGGCAACGAUGCGUAGCCGACCUGAGAGGGUGAUCGGCCACACUGGAACUGAGACACGGUCCAGACUCCUACGGGAGGCAGCAGUAGGGAAUCUUCCGCAAUGGGCGAAAGCCUGACGGAGCAACGCGGCGUGAGUGAAGAAGGUCUUCGGAUCGUAAAACUCUGUUAUUAGGGAAGAACAAAUGUGUAAGUAACUAUGCACGUCUUGACGGUACCUAAUCAGAAAGCCACGGCUAACUACGUG